rnacentral:rRNA from 1 species
AUUGAACGCUGGCGGCAGGCCUAACACAUGCAAGUCGAGCGGAUGAAGGGAGCUUGCUCCUGGAUUCAGCGGCGGACGGGUGAGUAAUGCCUAGGAAUCUGCCUGGUAGUGGGGGAUAACGUCCGGAAACGGGCGCUAAUACCGCAUACGUCCUGAGGGAGAAAGUGGGGGAUCUUCGGACCCCACGCUAUCAGAUGAGCCUAGGUCGGAUUAGCUAGUUGGUGGGUAAAGGCCUACCAAGGCGACGAUCCGUAACUGGUCUGAGAGAAUGAUCAGUCACACUGGAACUGAGACACGGUCCAGACUCCUACGGGAGGCAGCAGUGGGGAAUAUUGGACAAUGGGCGAAAGCCUGAUCCAGCCAUGCCGCGUGUGUGAAGAAGGUCUUCGGAUUGUAAAGCACUUUAAGUUGGGAGGAAGGGCAGUAAGUUAAUACCUUGCUGUUUUGACGUUACCAACAGAAUAAGCACCGGCUAACUUCGUG